rnacentral:lncRNA from 1 species
UAUUUAAAUCUUGGUUCCACUGAAAAUUUAUGUCAGUAUGAGAUACAAUGCAGGGAUCUAAACUUCUUAGAAAUGGUAAGCUUAGUGGUCGAACAACAUUCAUUGAAAAUAUUCUCUUUGUCUCCUGAUUUUAUUUGGCACCUUUGUCUUACAUUGUACAUCUGUUUGCAGAUGGAUAUAUUUUUUGUUAUUUCAAUUAUAUUUCUAUGUUGAUUAUUCUUCUAAUCAUAUAUGUCUAUCAUUCUGUAAUAACUUUUAAUAAUUUGUUGAAUAGUUGUCAUUUUAUUAUUAUGCUGUUUGAAAUUUUUAUUGGCUAACAGGCCAUCCUGAAGCAUUUAUUCUUCUACAUGAACAUUCAAUAUUCCUUUUGUCCAUUUUUUAAAAAUUGUGUUUAGAUUUUUCUUGGAAUUAUGUUACAUUUAUGUUAUUCUGGUAAUUACGGGCAUCCUUACAAUAUUAGGAAAUUAUUGCUUUUUGCCAUUUUUUGAAGCUGUUUUCCAUGUUCUUCAGUCAUAUUUUAUAGUUCACUCAAUAAAUAUCGAGCAAUUAACUCGCCCAGUUAAUUUGAAGCUGUUUAUCGUUACUGCACGUUAUGACAGAGUUCUCCUCCCUCUGCCCUGCCUUUGCCAUCCUGUGAAGUUUUAUGGGUUUUGUAACUGACUAUCUUGCAGAGUUCACUCACUAUUAAUAUUUUUCAGCUGACACUUUGAAUAUUACAUGAUAACUUUGUGCCCUUCUUAAUAUUCAUAUUUUUUUCUCUUGUCCUGAACAUGGUUCAGAAAUUCACAAUUGUAGGGACACUACUUAACCCACCUCUCUAUCCCUGAAUCUACUGGACUAUAGUAGCAUCCUUGUUUUUCCUUCUCUCUCUCCUCAGUUCCUGAUUUUCAGGACUGGGACCCUUAGUAAAAUUAAUUGGGACACUUUUAAACAUUUUUAUAGCCUUAAGCCAAUUAAAUUAUAUAGAAAGUGCCUCUUACCUGAAUGUGUGACUGAAUUUGUGCAUCCAUCCCCAAAACAUCUGAGCCUCUAUCUCAUAGAAGUGGUGGGGAGUUCUUUAUCAGUUUUUUCCAUGGCUUUUAGUUUCAUCAGAUUUUUUUCUCUCUCUUCUUGAAAAGGUUGCUUUGCCUUAUUUGGUUUUCAUAAAUUUAAACAAGUAUGCUUUCUUUUUACUAUAUUUUAUUUUAUGGUACUGGGGAUUGAACCCAGGGCACUUAACCACUGAACCACAUCCCCAUCCCUUUUUAAUAUUUUAUUUAGAUACAGGGUCUUGUGAAGUUACUUAGGGCCUUACUAUGUUGCUGAGGCUUGCUUUGAACUCGAAAUCUUUCUGCCUCAGCCUCUCAAGCCACUGGCUGAUUUCUACUUUAGUUUUCUUCCCUCUCUAUGUUUCUAAUCCCUUCUUAAUUCUAGCAUUAUUUAUUUAUGUUUUCUUUUUUCACAUGUAAACUUUCAGGAGGCUUGCCUCUUUUAUUUUUUCGUUUUGUAUUUUUUUGUUUUGUUUUGGUACCAGGGAUUAAGCUCAGGAGUAUUCAACUACUGCACCACAUCCCCAGUGCUUUUUAUUUUUUAUUUUAAUACAGGGCCUUGAUAAAUUGCUUAGGUACUUGCUACAUUGCUUAGGUACUCACUAAAUUGUUGAGACUGGCUUUGAUCCUGCCUCAGCCUCCUGAGUCACUGGGAUUACAGGUGUGCACCACCCCCUUGCCUUUAGUGGUCUUUUAAAAGAUCUAGCUCUUUGAUUUCUUAUCAAUCCUAUUAUUUUCUGCUUUCUAAUUUACUUAUGUCUGCUUUUAUCUUUCACUUUCUGUUUCUACUGUCCAUUGUAUCUUGUGUCCAUUUUUUAGUCAAUUGCUAAGUGUUUCUUUUUUAUCCUUCAUUUUUAUUCAGUUACAAAACCACUUAAAGUUUGUCUUUUCUCUGAUAAGUGAUGAGAAAGAAGAAUGCACAGAGAGGACACUGUAGCUAUGACAGCAGGCUCAGAAACAGAGAUCAAUACUGCACUUCUCUGCUGGGCACCUGGCUCUGCCUCUUUGGUGCUAGCUCUUCAGGUGGUACCAUUAUGCACAUCACCUCUUUCCUAAUUUUCUUCCUGCUAAAUGUUAACCAGAGAGCCAAAGUGACUCAGGGCUGCACUCCAUGUUUGGAAGUCAUGGAAACGAAGGCCCUUCCAACUUUAUCACUUUUUCUGAAGCAGUUUUGUCUCAUUUGCUUGACCCUGGGUCCUAAAUGGUACUUACUUGGAAUUGUAUCUAUUAGCCUGAGAAUAUGACCAUUUAUGUUACCAUAAACAACAGACAACCUUAUGUACUGAGUGUUUCUGACACCCUGGCAUGGGAGUCACCCUGCACUGCCCUACCCUGCCCAACCCCAUUUUACCCCAACCCCCUCAGCCAUCUCUCAUCUCCUGGCUCUGCAGGAUUUAUAGAAGGAGGACUGUGGUAUAGAGCAUUAAGAAGAUGUAAGGGAGCAUGGGAAUGGAUUUUAUUGGAAAUAUUAAACUGUUGAGGAGGAGGGAAGGAUGUACAGUGUAAAAUACUCUUCAGUCAGGCCAGGCUAAAUCUAUCUGUGACAUCUCAAGAGGCGUAAUCUCAAGGCAUCCCAGGGCUUCCAAAGAGAACCUUAAGGAACCCCGGAUUUUAAUCCAUGAUUCUAGUGGAACUCCAUGUAGGACAGUGUCAAUAUCUAUUGGCCUUUUGCAUAUGGAGACUAGCAGGGAGAAAAUACAAAAUUGGGGGAUGGAAGGAGGUGGGUGUCUGCCCAUGCUCGAUUACACAACUUACCUUCUUUAUGGAAUGCAUAUCUUCACUUCUAAUCAAUUCCUUGUGGGAUAACAGUCCCUGUGUUCCAUUACUGAAAUAAUUAGCACUGAUAAAAGUUUCCUGAGCUUUUCUAUGUGCCAGAUAUUAUGCUUAAGUAUAAAUAUCUUUACUGGGACAGAAUUUACAUACCAUAAAAUUAAUUCAUUAAAUAUGUACAAUUCAAAUAUUUUCAGAAAAUUUAUAGGAUUGGGCAGCCAUUAUUAAAAUCCAGUUUUAAGGUGUUCCAUCAUCUUACAAAACUCCUUCAAAUCUGUUUGUAGUCAGUCCUCUAACCCAUGUUCAGCUCCAGGCAAUCAUUAAUCUGCCUUCUGUGUCUACAAAUUAGUCUUUUCUAGAAAUUUUACAUAAGUUGAAUCAUAUAAUGUAUAUUCUUCUGUAUCUGGUUUCUUUCCCUUGGUACAGUGUUUUUGAGAUUCAUCUAUGUGAUAGCAUGUAUCAGUAUUCCAUUUCUUUUUAUUGUUGAAUAGUAUUCCACUGUAUUGAUAUACCACAUUUUGUGUAUCUAUUGACAAGAUGAUGGACAUUUGAAUCACUGUAGCUUUUUAGUUAUCAUGAAUAAUGUUGACAUGAAUGUUCACCUACAAAUAUAUAUGUGAACAUGUGUUCUUGUUUCUUUUAGAUAGAUAUUUAGUAGUAAAAUCAUUAGGCUGCUUAAUAAACUUAUUUUUAACUUUUAAGGAAACUAAUGAACUGUUUUCCUGAGGGACUACACCAUUCUCACAAACAAUAUAUAAAGAUUCUAGUCUCUCCAUAUUCUUGCUAAUACUUGUUGGUGACUACCAUUUUUAUUGUAGCCAGUCACAUGAGCAUAUAGAGUCAUCUUACUGAGUGUGUUUUUCUAUGCCUUCUGCCCCUGUACCCUCAUCAAUUCUAUUAGUCAGGAUAGGCUAGGUUAUGCUGUGGUAACAAGCAACCUCCAAGUCUCAGUGACUUAAAACCACAAAGGAUAUUUCUCACACAUGCUGCAUGGCUAGUGAUGACUAGAAAUGGAGAGGAGAAAAAGUGCUCAUCAAAGUCACCCAGGGUCCCAGGCUGAUGGGAAGUCCUGGAGGAGAAAAAGGCAGACUACUGCGG